AGUGUAGUGUAUCAACUGAUAAAAAGACCAAUGCCACCUGGUGGGUUAACCUCACAGACAUUCGAAGCAUACAUAACAUAGUGAUCUACUACCGGACGGACAAUCAGGUUUGGGAUUCAUCAAAUCAAUAUACGGGAAGAUUUAGGGGAUUCUACGUGUACAUUUCAAACACAACACGCAUGCAAGAUGGCCAUUUAUGUUUUCAUGACAGAAACUACACCAAUGCCACAAUACCAGCAGUCGCCAACAUAACCUGUCCUGUACAUGGACAAUUUGUCAUCUACUAUAAUGAAAGACCUGCAAAGAACAGUUACACAACUGGACACUCUCUGUAUGCUUUUACUGAACUUUGUGAGGUCGAGGUAUACGGUUGCUCAAGUCCUAGACAUUACGGAUCUGAUUGUUCAAAGACAUGCCCCAUAAACUGCAAAGAAUACUGUCACAUAGAAUCAGGAAAUUGUCUUCAGUGUUCUCCAGGUUACAGAGGCGAACGGUGUGAAC